rnacentral:lncRNA from 1 species
AUGGCAAGACGCACGAGAUGGGGUUCCUACCCUGCUCCCCAGUUAGGAGCCGAGGCGUAGACAGACAGAGGCGUGA